GUGCCGCUGUGCGUAUUCGCUGUGGACGUUUCCAUGGAGACGGUCGCUGGUAUGAAGCGGCGAGAAAAGAGCCGUGUGCGCGGAAUGACGUAAUGUGAUGGAUUGAAGCCGCUGUAGCGCCGGUCCCGCGUGCACUCGGUGCUGCUCCGCUCCGCAUCCCUCAGCGCUCUCUCUGCGCUCUUGUUUGGACCAAUCCUGGAGCAGAAGUACCUUCUCUGGGUUUGUGCUUUUGGAGGAUUUUACAAGAUCCGACUGUGAUGUAAAGCUGCAAGAACAUGCCGCUGUGUCAUAUGCAAGUUUUCAGAUCAUCAGGAAAAUGACUUUGUGAAUGCAGAAAUGUGUAAUUAUGAAGUUGGGGUCGCUGGUCACAGGGGCCCUUCCCCCCUUCUGGAUGCCUGUCACAGAGCAGCCGUGCUGGGCUUCAUCUGAAGGGAUGCACCAUGGUGUGAUCACACGUCUGUCCUACCCCAGACUCAAUGAAUCGCACGAAUGAAUGGACAUUACUGUGGCAAAGGGAAUUAGCUUGCUUGCAUAGGGACUUUGGAUUUGGGAAUACUGGAGCCGGUAGAGGAGCGUUGGAUUUUUUUUUGAAGAAGUGCAGCGGAUACUUCAAGGAGUGUUUUUGGAAGAUGUCUGAGAAGGGAGCCGAGGCGUCUACAUCUCAGCCCCCAAAGCGGAAGCAGGUGAUUCAUGGUCUGGAAGAUCAGAAAAAGCCAUUUCAGAUUUUUUCACCCCAUCAUCAGUCGUUUAUGUGAGCUCCCUCCACCAUGUAAUCUACAGAGAAUGAGGUGGAAUGAAUCACUGAAUGAUUUUCCUGUCACCCAUUGGCCUCUGUUCUACCUGAGAGACGUGCAGCAUUCUAAUGCACCUCUGCUGAGGUGGGAGUGUGUGUGUAUUUGUGUGAAUGUGAAUGAGUGGGAACCUUGAGAGGUCGUACCUGAGGGCCAGAUACUCAUGUUGCAGACGGGCUUGAAAAGCACUCAUUGAUUCCUGUGUCUAGAGUGAGGCAUUUAUGGGUAAAUCCAUUCAAAUCCUUCUGUUAAAAGCUGUUCCACCAGUGCUAUUGUCCAAGAAUAGAAACAUAGAGCAGACAUGGGACUUAAAACAUACAUUAGAUGUUGCAAAUACAUAUGGAUAUGUUAAAAGAAUAGUUCACCUAAAAAUUCUGAUUUUGUCAUUAUUUACUCUGCUUCAUGUCCCUCCAAACCUUUGUUUUUCUUUCUUAUGCAGAGCUCAAAAGAAGAUAUUGCAGAAUGCCCAAAAGUAUUUGCUUUUAUAAUGGAAAGAAAAUAAUAAAAAAAAGAAAGAAAGAAAAUUGGUUUGUGGAGCUUACUGGUUAUCUCAGAGCUUGGUUCACCCAAUCUGUUUUUGUUAAAGUCAACAUGAAAUAAAAAAAUUGGCACUUUCAUUUAUUUUAUUCUGAUGUGACCAUAUGAGUGAGGGAAAAUAGUUGGGAAUGGUUUGACCUAGAAAAAUUGGUGAAGUAGGGUUAGAGUUUUAUAUAUAAACAUUUAAAAGGAUUUUUUGAAAUAAUUCUCUUAUGGUCACCAAGACUGCAUUUCUUUGUUUAAAACAGAAAAGAAAAGUUCAGAAAAAAAAAAACUAUUAUAUUGAGAAAUGUUAUUAUAAUUUUAAAUAUCUGUUAAUUCAAUACAUUUUUAAAUGUAAUUUAUUCCUGUGAUGCAAAGCUAAAUUUUCAGCAUCAUUACUCCAGAC
ensembl:lncRNA